GAUGAACGCUGGCGGCGUGCCUAAUACAUGCAAGUCGAGCGAACAGACGAGGAGCUUGCUCCUCUGACGUUAGCGGCGGACGGGUGAGUAACACGUGGAUAACCUACCUAUAAGACUGGGAUAACUUCGGGAAACCGGAGCUAAUACCGGAUAAUAUAUUGAACCGCAUGGUUCAAUAGUGAAAGACGGUUUUGCUGCCACUUAUAGAUGGAUCCGCGCCGCAUUAGCUAGUUGGUAAGGUAACGGCUUACCAAGGCAACGAUGCGUAGCCGACCUGAGAGGGUGAUCGGCCACACUGGAACUGAGACACGGUCCAGACUCCUACGGGAGGCAGCAGUAGGGAAUCUUCCGCAAUGGGCGAAAGCCUGACGGAGCAACGCCGCGUGAGUGAUGAAGGUCUUCGGAUCGUAAAGCUCUGUUAUUAGGGAAGAACAAAUGUGUAAGUAACUAUGCACGUCUUGACGGUACCUAAUCAGAAAGCCACGGCUAACUACGUG
rnacentral:rRNA from 1 species